rnacentral:rRNA from 1 species
UACGGGAGGCAGCAGUGGGGAAUAUUGCACAAUGGGCGCAAGCCUGAUGCAGCCAUGCCGCGUGUAUGAAGAAGGCCUUCGGGUUGUAAAGUACUUUCAGUCGUGAGGAGGGUGUUAAGGUUAAUAACCUUAGCAAUUGACGUUAGCGACAGAAGAAGCACCGGCUAACUCCGUGCCAGCAGCCGCGGUAAUACGGAGGGUGCGAGCGUUAAUCGGAAUUACUGGGCGUAAAGGGCACGCAGGCGGUUAAUUAAGUUGGAUGUGAAAUCCCCGGGCUUAACCUGGGAAUGGCAUUCAAGACUGGUUAGCUAGAGUCUUGUAGAGGGGGUAGAAUUCCAUGUGUAGCGGUGAAAUGCGUAGAGAUGUGGAGGAAUACCGGUGGCGAAGGCGGCCCCUGGACAAAGACUGACGCUCAUGUGCGAAAGCGUGGGGAGCAAACAGGGAUUAGAUACC